CGCCGUUCCGCCGUUCACCCCCGAAAACCGGCAGUCGAUAACAGCACGUAUACCCGGACGCGCCAGUAUUAUGUGUCUCGCAUCGCAGCGGUGCAAAUGCGCGCGCUAGGCGGGUACGAGCCAGUCCGCGAACAUCGGGUCAGUCAGUCAGUGGCAAGAAAAAAUGGCGGAUGUCGACUUGAAUAUCGACAACCUGAUACAGAGAUUAUUGGAAGUAUACCACACGCAGAAAGACCAGGUUCAGAAGAAAGCCAAGCUAAAAGAUAUUUUCUCGUCGGACUUCGUCGUUAGAGGAUGUCGACCGGGCAAGACCGUGAUCAUGACGGAGGCCGAGGUGCGCGGCCUCUGUCUAAAGUCGCGGGAGAUUUUCCUGCAGCAGCCGAUUCUGCUUGAGCUGGAGGCGCCGCUUAAGAUCUGCGGCGACAUACACGGCCAGUACACCGAUCUGCUGCGGUUGUUCGAGUACGGCGGCUUCCCGCCCGAGGCAAACUACCUGUUUCUGGGCGACUACGUCGACCGGGGGAAGCAGUCCCUGGAGACGAUAUGCCUGCUGCUGGCGUACAAGAUAAAGUACCCGGAGAACUUUUUCCUGCUGCGCGGCAAUCACGAGUGCGCCAGCAUAAACAGGAUAUACGGCUUCUACGACGAGUGCAAGCGGCGGUACAACAUCAAGCUGUGGAAGACCUUCACGGACUGCUUCAACUGCUUGCCGAUUGCCGCGAUUAUCGACGAGAAGAUCUUCUGCUGUCACGGCGGGCUCAGCCCUGAUCUACAGGGAAUGGAGCAAAUCAGAAGAAUUAUGCGUCCAACUGAUGUACCUGAUACCGGUCUUCUUUGUGAUCUCUUAUGGUCCGAUCCCGAUAAAGAUGUUCAAGGUUGGGGCGAGAACGACAGAGGAGUAUCGUUUACAUUCGGUCCAGAUGUUGUGUCGAAAUUCUUGAAUCGUCACGACAUGGAUCUGAUAUGCAGAGCACAUCAGGUGGUCGAAGAUGGUUACGAAUUCUUCGCCAAGCGACAGCUCGUCACGCUGUUUUCCGCGCCAAACUACUGCGGUGAGUUCGACAAUGCCGGAGGAAUGAUGAGCGUCGACGAGACUUUGAUGUGCAGUUUUCAGAUCCUGAAACCAUCAGAGAAGAAAGCAAAGUAUCAAUAUGGAGGAAUGAACACAGGCCAAGCGGGUAGACCAUCUACACCACAGAGGAAUCCAGCGAAAAAGAAAUGACAGCCUUCUACCGAUCCUUCACAACAACAAACGCGAUUAUCCUUAAUGGAGGCUAUCAUGCUAGCACGAAGACGUCGAGAUACAGAACUAACCUAAUCUGAUAAACAUAAAGCUAAAGUGUGUAAGAUUUACCUCUUCCUCAAUCGCAUCUUAACAAAAUAAGAAAAGAUAUAAACGAUUCGCGGUUUUGGUUAUCACUGUACUUGAAGGGUCACUCUUGAAGUUCCCUGGCAAUUAUUCGGUGAUAUCUUCCAAACUGAGUGAUCUUUUGUAAAGUUAACUCUUUUUAAAAGGCAUUUUGUCAUCUUCAUUUAUAUAUUUAUUGCUUCCACUGUUGAUGUUGAGUGUAAUUAUGAGACUUGCUGUUAUUAUUAUUAUUAUAAUUAUUAAAAUUAAUUAAUAUUAAUAUUUUUAUUUUUAAUAUUAUUUUUAUCAUCGCUUAGCAGCUAAUUUAAAUGUCAUCGUUUCAUGAGAUGCUUUGCGUGUAUAUAGAUAUAAUUAAGUGCGUAAUGGAUAAUGAUGUAAGAGAAAGGAUGUUCAAAAAUAUAUCUAUAUGCAUAUAUAUUUUUGACCAUCCUUUUUUUUACAUCAUUAUUACGCAUUUAAUUAUAUCAUCAUGUGCAGUAUUCCAAAUGUGGUAGUAGUGACUGCACGUUCCAGAGAUGUCAUAGGCGAAUUAGAUUGUUUAUUUUCGGGCUAUAAAUUCGAAAAGAAAGAACGGAGAAUCAGUAUUUGUAAGAUAAGACAUCUACACUAACGAGCAUAUCUUUAUUCGAAGGAUACUAGAAAAAUGAAGAAUUGUAAAAAAAAAAACAGAAACGAAAAAUGAGUAUUAUACUAAGAAAAAUAAUGUCCAGAGAUAGAAUCUCAACUGCAUGUGAACUUCUCAUGCUCAUAGUAGAAGCAAACGUGACCGCAAAUGUUAUUUGAUUCACGGAACAUUCGUUGCACAUUAUGAAAGUGUUUGUUUCGAAUUGCACGAACAUCUCGGAUAUGAUUUUUGACAGGCGAACCGUACUUUCGAUUUCGACGAACUCAAAUUUUAUGUUUUACACGAUAUGUAUAUAUGCUGAUUUAUAUCACUAGGACAUUCAAGUGCUGAAGCUCACUUUCUUUUUGUUGAAUGAAAACGACGGCAAUUGCAUUUGGAUUAAUUGGUACAUUUAUUUUAAACACAAUAUUGUAACAUAUUUCUGUGGCCGCAUUGUUACGUCUUUUUACACAUUGAUCACAAUAUUUUAUGCGAUACUGGGUUCGUCGCCGAAGAAAUCGCUACACGUGCUGACACGAUUGUUUCUCGAUUAAACUGUUAAUAAUAGCGCUUUAACGAUCUCCCCGCAAACCUCGCUCUUGUUUUGUAAUCGGAUCUGUAUGAUCUUGUUUGGAAAUCGUUUGCGCGGCAGAUAUAAAAAAAAGUUGCAUUUGUUGAAAGAAAGGUAUGCAUUACGACAAGAAUCGUCGAAUAUUACUCGCGAUCGCUGCAUCGCAAUGUAUACAAGAAUACUAUGAAUCGUAUAUGCGACACUCUCCGACGAAGAAAAUCCAUAAUUCUCUACGGAAGCGCUAAUCGAUCGAAUAGUAAUGACGUCCGAGGUUGUAUUCAUACUGAGGAUAUCUUUCUAUAGUAAUGCGCAAUGUGUCUUUUAGAGAUUUAAUAUUUAAUACUUGCUAUCGGCAAAAUAUCCAUGAAUACAACCGAUAAAUCUGCUGCAAAAAUUAAUCGGGGCAAUCGACAAAGUACAUUUAUUGACGACUAAAUGAAGAUUGAUAAUUGAUGAGAGAGAAUUAUCGUAUUGUGCAAGAUAUUGAGAAAACAAUGUAGAAGUACGAUGAACGUAUAUCAAACCUGAAACAAAAAAGACUCAUCCCGGCCCGAAGAUCAAUCAAAUGUAAUAAUAAGCCUUUUUGUUGUGCGAAGACGCCACGAUUGGUACUCAUAUCGUUACUCAUUAUUUGAUUGUUAUUUAACGUUAUCGGAUAUUGAUAGCAUUCGACGAAGUUAGUAGAUUAUUAUUCAAGGUAUUUCUCAUCAGUAACGACAUAUACGAGAGAGACGCGGUGCAAAUUUUGUUUUGGAACGUGCCGAGAUGAAAAUGUGUCAUUCUCACCCUCCUCCUCCCUACGUUACUCCCUCCCCUUUCACCCUCUCAAAAAAAAAAGAAGAAACAAUCGAAAAAUUCAUUAUUGUCAAAGGAGCGGUUGUGAUCCCUCGAUAUGCGUUUUGUCCGAAAUUCAUAUAUUAUAUACAGAUAUUAUAUUUGUAAAGGGUUGGCUGGUCGCGAUUCGACGAUACUUUAUUAAAUAAGUAAAUAAAAAAAAAAUAGCGAGAGACGCUCUCAUGAGAAGGAGUUAGAUCGAGAGACGAUUAUCGUGGGUUGUUACGUCGUUCGAAUCGCUGACGAUAGAAUGCGCCAUGCAAUGGCAUCCUAAAGAUGUAAAACUUUCAGAUAAUAAACAUGCAUAUUGUUGUACAAA
rnacentral:misc_RNA from 1 species